rnacentral:rRNA from 1 species
AUGGAUGGUAUUGUGAAAGCAAUUGGCCUAAAAAACAAUCGUACUUUCUGUGGUGUUUUUCGACAUCAGGCACUGGACCGGGGUGUUGUUCUCUUGAAGGUUGAUAAGAUUGUAACUGGGCAUAAUGCAGAUGACAUUGCAGAGACUGUCUUGCUGAAUAUUUUACGUGGUCAUAUUGCAAGGCUAAGUAGAUGCACCUUCAUAACUACUGGUGAAGAUGGACCAAUCCCAAGGUGCAAGCCUUUCAAAUACACCUAUGAAAAAGAGAUUGUCAUAUAUGCGUAUUCCAAAAAGCUAGACUACUUCUCCACUGAAUCUAUCUAUUCACCAAAUGCAUAUCGUGGGUUUGCUCGUGAAUUUAUUAAAGAUCUGGAAAGGACGAAGCCUAGAGCUAUACUGGACAUCAUAACCUCUAGCAAAAAUUUCUGGAUAUCCACAACAACAAGAAUGCGAGAGCAAGGAACAUGUGAACGUUGCGGCUAUAUUUCUAGUCAGUUAAAAAUAAGCCGAUAA